UGGAGAGAAGCACUGCCCCCUCCUCCCACCAGCUCAGGGACCGCUCGGCCUGCUGGCAGCUCACUCUCCCCACCGCCGCCAGAGAGGCAGCCAUUAUGGUUGCAAAGGAAAACAUCUGUAUCGUAGCCUGAAAGCAACAAAUGCAACGGAGUCUGCAGAGAGCCUGAAAGAAUUGCUCAGGCAGCGAUUGUCACUGUUCGUGCCAACGGGUUGUUGUGGAGACUGAAAUCCAACAACGGUGACAGUCCAAUGAAGAAUAGCAUGUCAGAAAGGAGAGAGCUACAUCCCUUGAGAGCCAGUACUGUAUUUUAUUUACUAUAACACUGGUUAUGACAUCCCGGCAGUUGCUGUGACUGUGAUGAAGAUCCUCGAGGUCACGAACUGAAAUCAAGGCCAGAAACCAGAGCUUAAGGAUUGAAAACCGGAGUUGCUGUGGGGAUCCUGAGAGACACCUCCCCCCUACACUGCAGCAACAUGUCUACCGAAUUUAGACUGAUCUGUACCUAAUUCCCCCCACUCCCCUUCUGAGCAACCAGAUGGGAACGGGUGACACCGAACCAGCUCGUUAGAGGCACAUGGCUUCCUGUCAGUAGAAACUGACUCUGUGCAACAAAGAUCAAAGACAGUAAAGCUAUUAAACUAUAAGCUUUUUUGGAAAAUGGACCUUCCCUUGGGUAUGUGUUUGUAUGGUGCUUGGCUCAUUGUCAUUAUGAUCUCUGCUUGGAGUCUCUCAUUGCU